GACGAACGCUGGCGGCGUGCUUAACACAUGCAAGUCGAACGGAAAGGUCCUGCCUUUGUGGGGUGCUCGAGUGGCGAACGGGUGAGUAACACGUGAGUUACCUGCCCCUGACUUUGGGAUAACUUCAGGAAACUGGGGCUAAUACCGGCUAGGAGCUACCGCCGCAUGGUGGGGGUUGGAAAGUUUCGACGGUUGGGGAUGGACUCGCGGCUUAUCAGCUUGUUGGUGGGGUAGUGGCUUACCAAGGCCUUGACGGGUAGCCGGCCUGAGAGGGUGACCGGCCACAUUAAGACGGAAAUACGACCCAGACUCCUACGGUAGGCAAGGGAGGAGAAUAUUACACAAUGGGCGGAAGCCUAAUGCGACAACGCCACGUGCGGGAUGUCAUCCUUGGGGUUGUGUUCCGCAUUCGCCUUUGACGAGACGUUAGUGACGGUAAUGGGUGAAGAAGCACCGGCUAACUACGUG
rnacentral:rRNA from 1 species